GCGGUUUGUCGCGUCUGCCGUGAAAGUCCGGGGCUCAACUCCGGAUCUGCGGUGGGUACGGGCAGACUAGAGUGAUGUAGGGGAGACUGGAAUUCCUGGUGUAGCGGUGAAAUGCGCAGAUAUCAGGAGGAACACCGAUGGCGAAGGCAGGUCUCUGGGCAUUAACUGACGCUGAGGAGCGAAAGCAUGGGGAGCGAACAGGAUUAGAUACCCUGGUAGUCCAUGCCGUAAACGUUGGGCACUAGGUGUGGGGGACAUUCCACGUUUUCCGCGCCGUAGCUAACGCAUUAAGUGCCCCGCCUGGGGAGUACGGCCGCAAGGCUAAAACUCAAAGGAAUUGACGGGGGCCCGCACAAGCGGCGGAGCAUGCGGAUUAAUUCGAUGCAACGCGAAGAACCUUACCAAGGCUUGACAUGAACCGGAAACGCCUGGAGACAGGUGCCCCGCUUGCGGUCGGUUUACAGGUGGUGCAUGGUUGUCGUCAGCUCGUGUCGUGAGAUGUUGGGUUAAGUCCCGCAACGAGCGCAACCCUCGUUCUAUGUUGCCAGCACGUGAUGGUGGGGACUCAUAGGAGACUGCCGGGGUCAACUCGGAGGAAGGUGGGGACGACGUCAAAUCAUCAUGCCCCUUAUGUCUUGGGCUUCACGCAUGCUACAAUGGCCGGUACAAAGGGUUGCGAUACUGUGAGGUGGAGCUAAUCCCAAAAAGCCGGUCUCAGUUCGGAUUGGGGUCUGCAACUCGACCCCAUGAAGUCGGAGUCGCUAGUAAUCGCAGAUCAGCAACGCUGCGGUGAAUACGUUCCCGGGCCUUGUACACACCGCCCGUCAAGUCACGAAAGUUGGUAACACCCGAAGCCGGUGGCCUAACCCCUUGUGGGAGGGA
rnacentral:rRNA from 1 species